ACAUAUCCUAAUGAGUUAAAUAUUUAUAUUAGGUGAUGCCUGCCCAGUGAAGAAAAAAUAAAAAUUCAUAUUUUAACGGCCGCAGUACUCUAACUGUGCUAAGGUAGCAUAAUUAAUUGGCUUUUAAUUGAAGUCUGUAUGAAUGGCUAAACGUAGAAUUUCUGUCUUUGGAAAGCUUUCAUAAAAUUAUUUAAUAGGUGAAAAUACCUAUUAGUAGAGAAAAGACGAGAAGACCCUAAGAAUUUAUAAUUAAAAUUUUGUUGGGGCAACACUGAAUCAAAUUUGAAAAAUCUUCAGAAAAAAUAAAAUUAUAUUUCCGAAAAUAAAAAUGUUUCGUGUAUAUUUAAAUUACCUUAGGGAUAACAGCAUAAUUUUUAUUAAAGAUUGUGACCUCGAUGUUGGACUAAGGUAUCUUUGAGUAGAAUUCUAAGUUUUUAGCUCUGUUCGAGCAAAUUAAACCUUACGUGAUCUGA
rnacentral:rRNA from 1 species